CCCUGUUGGCAGUACCUCAAGUCUUUUCCUUGUGUUGACCGAUCAUUUGAAUAAAACCCAUAAAGUGUCCUGGAUGACGUACGAGCUUCUUGGAGCUAAUCCCGAUUGACAUGAUGCAAUGUGGUAUGAAAUGCUAAAUGACCUAAAAAGUGAAUGCAUGAAAUGAGGAGGGCAAAUUUUGGGGUGUUACAAUUGGUCGAGUUGCAUCGUCUACUGUGUGAUUACAGUCAUCUGGAGCACGACCAUGACAAAUGCUGUAUCUGCUCUGUUAAUCGUCUGGGUUGUCGCCUAGUGCGGAAAGAUC
rnacentral:lncRNA from 1 species